rnacentral:rRNA from 1 species
GCCAUCAGUGAUGGCACGUUGUAUGCACCAGUUCUUGAUGGAUCACUGAAGUUGAGCAAAGUUGAGCGUGGUUGGUAUCCGGAUGGGUGACUAUCUGAAGUCUGGACAAUCACGUGCUGCUGGCU